CCUGAUCCCAUGCCGAACUCAGAAGUGAAACGCAAUAGCGCCGAUGGUAGUGUGGGGCUUCCCCAUGUGAGAGUAGGACAUCGCCAGGC
rnacentral:rRNA from 1 species